rnacentral:rRNA from 1 species
GACGAACGCUGGCGGCGUGCUUAACACAUGCAAGUCGAACGGAAAGGCCCUGCUUUUGUGGGGUGCUCGAGUGGCGAACGGGUGAGUAACACGUGAGUAACCUGCCCUUGACUUUGGGAUAACUUCAGGAAACUGGGGCUAAUACCGGAUAGGAGCUCCUGCUGCAUGGUGGGGGUUGGAAAGUUUCGGCGGUUGGGGAUGGACUCGCGGCUCAUCAGCUUGUUGGUGGGGUAGUGGCUUACCAAGGCUUUGACGGGUAGCCGGCCUGAGAGGGUGACCGGCCACAUUGGGACUGAGAUACGGACCAGACUCCUACGGGAGGCAGCAGUGGGGAAUAUUGCACAAUGGGCGGAAGCCUGAUGCAGCAACGCCGCGUGCGGGAUGACGGCCUUCGGGUUGUAAACCGCUUUCGCCUGUGACGAAGCGUGAGUGACGGUAAUGGGUAAAAAAGCACCGGCUAACUACGUG